UGAACGCUGGCGGCAUGCCUUACACAUGCAAGUCGAACGGCAGCACGGGUGCUUGCACCUGGUGGCGAGUGGCGAACGGGUGAGUAAUACAUCGGAACAUGUCCAGUAAUGGGGGAUAGCCCGGCGAAAGCCGGAUUAAUACCGCAUACGCUCUACGGAGGAAAGCGGGGGAUCUUAGGACCUCGCGUUAUUGGGGUGGCCGAUGGCGGAUUAGCUAGUUGGUGGGGUAAAGGCCUACCAAGGCGACGAUCCGUAGCUGGUCUGAGAGGACGACCAGCCACACUGGGACUGAGACACGGCCCAGACUCCUACGGGAGGCAGCAGUGGGGAAUUUUGGACAAUGGGGGCAACCCUGAUCCAGCAAUGCCGCGUGUGUGAAGAAGGCCUUCGGGUUGUAAAGCACUUUUGUCCGGAAAGAAAUCCUCUGGGUUAAUACCCCGGG
rnacentral:rRNA from 1 species